rnacentral:rRNA from 1 species
UACGAAGGGGGCUAGCGUUGCUCGGAAUCACUGGGCGUAAAGGGUGCGUAGGCGGGUCUUUAAGUCAGGGGUGAAAUCCUGGAGCUCAACUCCAGAACUGCCUUUGAUACUGAGGAUCUUGAGUUCGGGAGAGGUGAGUGGAACUGCGAGUGUAGAGGUGAAAUUCGUAGAUAUUCGCAAGAACACCAGUGGCGAAGGCGGCUCACUGGACCGGUUCUGACGCUGAUGCGCGAAAGCGUGGGGAGCAAACGGG